rnacentral:lncRNA from 1 species
GGGAGGCUGGUGCCCGGCAACCUCACUGCCCCAGCCUCCAGGGUUUCUCUCUUCUCAUGGUCCGGGCUGGAGGCUUUUCUUGACUUCCUCCCUUGUUUUCUCCAUAGACGUCCACUCUGCCAUUGACCUGCAGCCUCGACAUCACGGGCCACCUCUCCACCCUGUUGCUGAUCCUGCCCGUUCAUCUGCCAGCUCCUCCUUUGAGUCACCCGGCAGCAGUGUCCGUCCACCCAGGAGCGUUUGCGAUCCUGACCGCCCAUCAAGGGUGCCAAUACCCGAGACAGGGUCCUCAAAGGCACCUGACCCAGUCCUUCCUGCCUUAGUCAGCCAUGGAGCUUCUCCCAGAAGAACAGCCUCCUCUUAGCAGGCGUCCAGAGAGAUCAGGCCCAGGGCAGGUGAUUCCCACGUGCUGCCAGAGGGGUCUUGGAGGGCAGCAGCCAGCACGGGCCUCACACAGAGGAGCAGGUGGCUCUGAGGCUCCCGUCUGGUGGCUCCUCUGGGCAGCCACCUUUGCUGCUCUCUGUGCAGGAGUCGGCUUGCCCCAGAGACUUUCAGGGCCCUACCUUGUUACACUUAAUAAGACAUUAAGUCCUCAGGGCUGUUUAGUAGUGGCCUGUGCUUCCUCCAGUCCCACAGAGCAGCUUGGAACACCUCAGGAGCAGUCUGCACAGGGCCCGGGAGAGCAGACAUCCAGGAGAGGGCUGAUGUUUGUGGGAACAGUGCAGCUGUGCCAUGGUCCUCGAUGGUGGCACCUCCCACCAGGGUGUGUUGUGUCCACCUGUGCUCGCCUUACGUCUGCAGGGCAGCGCCUGCUCCUGACCCAUCCCCCAGGUCUCACCAUCCUCGCGCCUGUGGGAAUAGCAGUCCUACCUGUCCCCAGCUUCUACACCAACGCAUGGACCUUGGGACCAGCGUGGUCGUUGCCUUCCAGAGCCAAGGCACACCUCUCAUGUCUCUCCUCGGAAGAGGCACAACCAGCUCUGCUGCCCUCUGGGCAGGCCGUGUCUUCCACUCUGGGUGGUGGCAGACAGGGCCUCGUGCAUGCAAGGCUCUGCAGACCCUGACUCCACCCGCCGGGACGUGAACUGCAGAGAACAACCUGUGAAGUUGAAGGGUGGGAGAUGUCCCUGCUGCCCAAGCAAGUUGUCCUCACCUGGGCAAACACACUGCGCACACUGCACAGCACAGCACCACCAAGACUCUGUGGGCGCUCAGAGUGCUCACAGGGGCAGAAAGAGCGGCUGACCUGGAGUAGUCUCCUGCAUGGACCUGAGAAAAUGUACUCACCCCCAGCUGAAAUUCCCAUUCUAAAAAGUAAGCUAAAGACAGUCAGGAAUAAGGUUAUACAGCUCUCUUGAUUCAUUAGUAUUAAAAAAACAAAACCUCAUCAUAUAAAAGAAAAUUUUGUCACUGUGUAAUAGCUUCAUAUAUAAAUGUAAAGAUAGGAUUUUAAAAAAUUCAGUUCAUCCACCAGCACAUGUUUCUUAUGUCAGUGAGGGACAUUUAAAUGGAAGAUUUAAAAUAUUAGUGACAUGAACACUUCCUACAUGGAAACUGGAUGUUCUAAGGCACUUCCCGUCAGAACAGGCAACCCCAGCACCUGGCAGCUGUACGUAACGAGGUGCACCUCUGGGGCUUCCUGGUUUGGGGUCUCAUAUUUAAGUGGCGUGUUGUGCUGAAUCUGGGUUGGUGAUGGCCUCAGUUCACUUUCUGCAGGUGUCAUCCACUAUCGGGAGAGGCUGAUUGUCUCCUGUGUGGACCAUUUGUGCCUGAGCCAAAGGUUGGUGGGCUCAUGUGGUUUGUUUCUAAGUCUUUCUGCUGUUCCCUGUGUCUAGGUGUCUGCACUGAGGUCAGCGUCUCAUGUUCCUAGAGCCUCGUCCUGCAUUUUGAAAUCAGGAAGUAUCAUUGCCCUGCUUUUGUGUUUUUUUCUGGUUGCUUUGGUUGUUCAGAGUGUUUUCUGAUUCUCAUCAGAAUUUUAGGGUUAUCUUUUCUGUGAAAAAUGUCAUUGCAACUUUGCACUGAAUCUUCACUCACUUUGAGUAAUCGAUAAUUACCAUUUGGUGGAACUGUAAACAGGCACGUGGCAUUCAGUUGUUGGCAGGUUGAUUCUGAGGAGAUUGCUAGAUUCAGGAUCGUAAUUGCUCUGCCCUGUUCCCUGAAUUCCUACUAUACCCAGGAGAUUAAUAUUUGCUGAAUUAAUUUCUUACAGAUGUUAAAGCAAAUCCACAGCUGGUACACUAAACUAAAAGCAGCUCUCAAAGUGCACUGAAUAAAGAUCACCCUUGGCAGAGGCUCUGUGGCCUUGACAAACCCAUGUGUGAUGUGGAGUGUGCACCUGUGGGCUCUUUGUGCUCCCACACACACAGGAGAUAGGCACUAUUCUUUGUCUUGUGUGGUGCCCACAGUGCUGGUCAGGAAAGGUCACAGAGACACGGUCUGCACAGGCUUUGAAAACAACAAUGAGAGUGACUAUAAAGACCUCAGUUCUAAACAGUUUCACAUGAUGAUCUACUACAUUUGGAAAACAUUUUGUCAACCUCAGUUCUAAGAAAUCGCUUUGACUUAAUAAUACACGUUAGCUUCGAAUGGGCAAAUCGCAGGAACUGAAGAUUAAUGAGCAGUGACCUCUCUGCGGAAGCAGUGCACAAUCCCCGCCCCAGACCCCAGAUACAGCCUCGUGCUCCUCGCUUGGACUCGGGGUCACCUGGCUGCUGCUGUGUGUCCCCACACCAGUGGCUGCGUGUGUCUGCAGACAGCUCUCAGAGCAGGCUUUGGCAGCAAGUAUCUGGCAGACAAAGGAAGCAGACGGUGGCUGAUCAGGCGCUGUGGAGCCUCCCUGAAACCAGGAGCAGGGCACGCCCCCAGAGGACAUCCCGACACCCCUGGCCAGGAUGCUGCUUCACACAGACCCCAGACAGGUCCUGGCCAUUCUGACUUAGGAGAAGCAGAACUUGAGAAGACCCAGGCACAGUGGGAGGAGCGCGGCUGGUUUUCUGUGGCAGAUGUGCCUCGGGGAGACGGCAGGAAGCACGCUGUCUCUGCAGACCUCUGAGAGUCUCUCAGAAAGUGCACCCAGGGAAGCAUAGGCCAUGCUGCAUUUCCUGGGACGCUUGUGAAAAAAUCCAGGGCCAGGUAUCACUCAGGCUUUCUGUGCGCCUUUGCUGCCUCAACAGAACGCUAACCUUGAAAUUAACAAAGAGCCUGCUGAUCAUGGAGGAGGGGUCGAGAGGCCCACCGCCUCUCAGAAAAGCAACUGCAGAGAAUAUGCUGGGUAUUUGCAGAAGUUGUCAAGCAAUUUUGAAAGUUGAUCCUCAAGAACAGAAAUCACAAAGUAGCUGCUCAUUCCUGCCAGACCGAUAUUCCAUAUGCACUUCAUCUUAUUUCAAAAAAAUCAAUAUAAAUAGAAGUGUUAACAUAUUACCUUUACUUCUUUUGUCUUGUGUUGCUGAUUAAUUUUCUUGAAAAUUUUAAUGUAAUGAUAUUAUUUUAGACAUACAAGACUUAGUGACAGACGUGGAACUGCUGUGCUUCUUUCCUGACCCUGGUUGCUCCUUACACUCCUGACUGUUAUGGAAAACACUUCUGAAGAGGGUUUCAGAGCUCUUUGUGUCACAUGGACCCAUGUGCCACCAGAGCAGCAGCAAUACACUCUUGUUGGAUGCCAAUAUUGAAAGGCACAAGUAGUUUGCAAAGGCUUUAUAAAAGCAUAGAUGGAACAAAGCCGGCUUUAUUCAAGCAGACGUUAAAGGAAGCUUACUGUUAUGGAGACAAGAGCCAUAGGGUAGGAGUUCUAUAGAAGUAGGAUCCAAGGAAGAAGUGGAUGUGGAUGGAUGGAUGGUUGACAGAGGAGAUCACAGAGAGACAAGACGGUGGGUAGAUGAUGGGUGGACAGGAGAUAGAUGAUUGGAUAGAGAGAGAUGAACAGAGGGAUGGUAGGCAAAAGGAGAUUAGAUGAAAGAUGAUAGAUGACAGAUGAUGAUAGGCGAUAGAAGAUAAAUGACACAAGAACAAAGCGAGACUUUGCCAGUGGAGAAGUUUGGCUCCAGACCGAAGCCUCU